GACGAACGCUGGCGGCGUGCCUAAUACAUGCAAGUCGAGCGAACGGACGAGAAGCUUGCUUUUCUGAUGUUAGCGGCGGACGGGUGAGUAACACGUGGAUAACCUACCUAUAAGACUGGGAUAACUUCGGGAAACCGGAGCUAAUACCGGAAAAUAUUUUGAACCGCAUGGUUCAAAAGUGAAAGACGGUCUUGCUGUCACUUAUAGAUGGAUCCGCGCUGCAUUAGCUAGGUGGUAAGGUAACGGCCUACCAAGGCAACGAUGCAUAGCCGACCAGAGAGGGGGACGGGCACGCGCUGGAAUGAGACACGGACCGAACUUCUAAGGGCGGGGGACGGGGGGAAAUCUCGGCAAGGGGCAGAAGGCGGGAAGAGCAACCCCCGGGGGAGGCAGGAGGGUUUCGGAGCGGAAAACUCUUUUGAUGGGGAAGAAAUAUAUGUGAAGUUGAUUGUGCAACUCUUGAGGGUAACUAACCAGAAAGCCAGGGCCAACCACGUG
rnacentral:rRNA from 1 species